rnacentral:rRNA from 1 species
GAUGAACGCUAGCGGCAGGCUUAAUACAUGCAAGUCGAGGGGCAGCAGGGGUGUAGCAAUACACUCGCUGGCGACCGGCAAACGGGUGCGGAACACGUACGCAACUUACCCAAAACUGGGGAAUAGCCCGGGGAAACCCGGAUUAAUACCUCGUAACAUAAUGAAGUGGCAUCACUUUAUUAUUAUAGCUCCGGCGGUUUUGGAUGGGCGUGCGCCUGAUUAGGUAGUUGGCGGGGUAACGGACCCACCAAGCCUACGAUCAGUAACUGGUGUGAGAGCACGACCAGUCACACGGGC